GAUGAACGCUGGCGGCGUGCCUAACACAUGCAAGUUGAACGAAGCAAUCAAGACAGAAUCCUUCGGGAGGAAGAUUUGAUUGACUGAGUGGCGGACGGGUGAGUAACGCGUGGGUAACCUGCCUUGUACAGGGGGAUAACAGUUAGAAAUGACUGCUAAUACCGCAUAAGCGCACAGUACUGCAUGGUACAGUGUGAAAAACUCCGGUGGUACAAGAUGGACCCGCGUCUGAUUAGCCAGUUGGCAGGGUAACGGCUCACCUAGGCGACGAUCUCUAGCUGGUCUGAGAGGAUGAUCAGCCACAUUGGGACUGAGACACGGCCCAGACUCC
rnacentral:rRNA from 1 species